ensembl:lncRNA
AUGUCUCGUGCACGCUCGCACGCACACACUCUCUGUCUCUCCCUCUUUCUCCUCUUUUUUUUUCUCUCUCUCUGUCUUUCUUUACCUCCCUCCCUUCCUUCCUUCUUUCCUCUCUCUCUUCUCUCUCUCUUUCUCUUUCUCUCUCUUUCUUUCUCUCUUUCUUUCUUUCUUUCUUUCUUUCUUUCUUUCUUUCUUUCUUUCUUUCUCUCUCUCUCUUCUUUCUUUCUUUCUUUCUUUCUUUCCUUCUUUCUUUCUUUCUUUCUUUCUUUCUUUCUUUCUUUCUUUCUUUCUUUCUUUCUUUCUUUCUUUCUUUCUUUCUUUCUUUCUUUCUUUCUUUCUUUCUUUCUUUCUUUCUUUCUUUCUUUCUUUCUUUCUUUCUUUCUUUCUUUCUUUCUUUCUUUCUUUCUUUCUUUCUUUCUUUCUUUCUCUCUCUCUUUCCCUCCCUCCCUUCCUUUCCUCCCUUCUUUCCUUCCUUCCUCUUCCUCUCUGUCUAUCUCUGUCUAAACACAGUGGCUCCCUAUUGCCUACAGGAACAAGGACAAACACUGUUUGCUCUUCACAGCCCUUCCAAUCUGGUCCCUCCUCCCUUUCUAGCCUCCUUACACCUCACCUACCAGACCCUCCAUCUCUCCUCUCUGGGCCCUUUCUCCCCGUGUCUGGAAUGAUCCCCCACCUUCACUCCACCUCUCUGGCUUCCUUUAAGUUCCAACGAGAAUCCCAUCUUUUCCAGGAAGCCUUCUCCAGCCCCUCUCUACUGCAGCCCCCCCCCCCCCCCAAAUUCUUCCUGGUUAUCCCAUAAAUUGCUUGGUUGUGCACAUGUGUUGCCUGGCCUCUCCCCCCUUAAAAGGGAAAUUCCUCAAGGGCAGGGAUUGGCUUUUACCUUUUGGUGUCCCCUUGCUUGGCACGGGGCCUGGUCCCCAAGUAAACUCUUAAGAAAUGUUCUGUAAAUGAAUGAAUGGGCCCCCUACAUUUCCCCCCCCCCCAAUUCAUUUUGUGGCUCCCGGAACCUGGAACCCGCCCCCCGCAAAAGGCCCCGCCUGGGCUCCCUCUCACGGCCACCCUUGACUGCCUUCGACUUUGGCUGGCGUCUCCUGCUUGCCUGCAUCCCGGCGUGAUAGAGAUCUCGCGGCUCCAGGCCCGGAGCUGUGGUUCUCCCUUCCUUUCCUUCCCCUCAGUCUAACUGUAACUUUUGAUGGAUGGGCCCAGCGCCUCACCACACCCAGGAAAUGGCUACAGUUUUCUAGAACACUGUCGAAUUCUUGUUAAUGGGACACCAUCAAAAGUCUUGUUAGGUAAAUAUAAAUAAUGACAUGGCGCUCCACCAUCUGUUAAAGAGCUCCGAAGCAUACAGUGAAUAGAAUCAGUGCGUGGAGGGCUGGUGAUUGGCGUGGCUGCAUCAUUUCUCCAUCACAGCUUCUUGGGCUUAGAGAAGUGUUGCUUUGACUCUUCCCCCCUCCCCCACUCUCUUUCCCUGAUGCCCUUCCCCUACGGGGCAAUGGGGGAGGGAGCCAGACUUGUGGGAAUCGGGGCUUUCACUGGCCUCGUGUAGGGGGGAGGGGCUGUGUACAAAGAAGAUCUGAUGUUGACCCUGGCAAAGAUACUAGAAUGGUUUGCCGGGUCCUUCUCCAGCUCAUUUGACAGAUGGAGAAACUGAGGCAAAUAGGGGUAAGUGACUCGUUCAGGAUCAUACAGCUGCUAUAUGUGUCUGGAGUGGUUUGCCAUUUCCUUCAUGAGUUCAUUUGACAGAAGAGGAAACUGAGGCAAACAGGAGUAAGUGACUUUUUCAGGGCCUUUUCAUAGCUAGUAAGAGUCUGAGGUCUUCCCAACCCCAAGCCUGGUGCUCUGUCCACUGCAUCACCUAUCUGCACACACACACAGAUAGAGAUAGGCUAAAUUGGAGGAACUUGGGAACCUUUUCUUUAUCUCUUGGAGGGGCUGACCAGCAAGCAUUCCGUGGGUCAGUCCUGGGCGUGUAGUAAGCGCCUGCUGUAUGUCAGCCACUGUGCUAGCUUCUGGGGAUUCAGAGACAACAAUAAACUAGCUUUCUAAUGGGGGGAGAGCGCA